AAGCCCCUGAUUGUCUCCCCACCCUUUAUCAGAAAAAAUGUAACCCUUAUCCCCCUUCUCCAACUCUCUUCUGAUAAAAUAAUAAAUAAGAAAAAACCCUAAACACCCCCCUGCAUACUGCUAUGGCCUUCCACUAUCAUGGUUCUGCUAGAUCUGGUGAGCCAUUAUGCUCCAUCAGAGGAUACAACACCUCUAGCUAAAUUCCUAGAUCUCACUUCUCUCUUUUCUCCAUGAUCUCUCUAUUCCGAUGAUGGAUCAUCUUCCUAUCCUUUUGGCUCAAUCCCCUAUCCUUUCUUGGUCAUUUUCCUAUCCCACCCCUCUUAAUCCGACAUGGUGUCUUGCCUUUACACAACUUUGGCCUUACCACCCUUUAGCCACUCCUUCUUUGGUGACUC
rnacentral:lncRNA from 1 species